UGCUGAGAAAAAGGGACAAAAACGCGUCUGGUAUUUUGUUAAAUUUAAAGGUUACCCCCCCGAAGCCAACGAAUGGGUUUCGGCAAAACAUUCCAGAAUGGAAAGAUUAGUCCGGGAGUUUCAUGCAGCGCAAAAAGCUGCUACAGUGCUACAGAAUUCUCCACCCCCUUCUUCCUCACCCUUGCCUGACCCCAACCUUCCAGCGAAGAAAAACAAGAAAAAAAGGAAGAAGCCUGAAAAAAAUGUGCUUAGGCGUAGCAAAUGCUAUGUGUGCAAACAGAAAGGACAUCGGUCCUCCAAAUUUUGUAGACAAAUUGUUUAAUUUUAUUACUUUUUAUGAUAUUUUACUUUUUUUGUUCAACCAAGAUUUUUAAAAACAGUUUCACGAUAGGUAUUCUGUCUAGAUUGAGAUGAUAUUAGUUUCCCUAUAAGUAUUCUGUCUAGAUUGAGAGGAUAUUAGUUUCCCAGAGGAAUCUAGGGUGAGGCAAGUAAUAUUUUCAUAAUCACAUUUCACUAACUAAUUAAUUAUUAAUUAAAUUAUUAUUAAGCAGGAUUAUGUUAUAAAUUAUUAUGUUUUCUUAAACACCAGACAGAAUUCUCCACCCCCUUCUUCCUCACCCUUGCCUAACCCCAUCCUUCCAGCGAAGAAAAACAAGAAAAAAAGGAAGAAGCCUGAAAAAAAUGUGCUUAGGCGUAGCAAAUGCUAUGUGGUAAGUCUUAUUUCAGAAAAUAUUACAUCUUUUUAUAAUUUAAAAUUUAGAUUUUUUUUACAGUGCAAACAGAAAGGACAUCGGUCCUCCAAAUUUUGUAGACAAAUUGUUUAAUUUUAUUACUUUUUAUGAUAUUUUACUUGUUUUGUUCAACCAAGAUUUUCAAAAACAGUUUCCCGAUAGGUAUUCUGUCUAGAUUGAGAUGAUAUUAGUUUCCCUAUAAGUAUUCUGUCUAGAUUGAGAGGAUAUUAGUUUCCCGGAGGAAUCUAGGGUGAGGCAAGUAAUAUUUUCAUAAUCACAUUUCACUAACUAAUAGAGGGAAUUCACAUCGCGGUUUCGCGUGUCAAUUGUUUCGAUGUCCGCCAU